GUCGAACGAUGAACUGGAGCUUGCUCCAGGGAUUAGUGGCGAACGGGUGAGUAACACGUGAGUAACCUGCCCUUGACUCUGGGAUAAGCGCUAGAAAUGGCGUCUAAUACCGGAUACGAGCUUCAGCCGCAUGGCUAGGAGUUGGAAAGAAUUUUGGUCAAGGAUGGACUCGCGGCCUAUCAGCUAGUUGGUGAGGUAAUGGCUCACCAAGGCGACGACGGGUAGCCGGCCUGAGAGGGUGACCGGCCACACUGGGACUGAGACACGGCCCAGACUCCUACGGGAGGCAGCAGUGGGGAAUAUUGCACAAUGGGCGAAAGCCUGAUGCAGCAACGCCGCGUGAGGGAUGACGGCCUUCGGGUUGUAAACCUCUUUUAGUAGGGAAGAAGCGAAAGUGACGGUACCUGCAGAAAAAGCACCGGCUAACUACGUGCCAGCAGCCGCGGUAAUACGUAGGGUGCAAGCGUUGUCCGGAAUUAUUGGGCGUAAAGAGCUCGUAGGCGGUUUGUCGCGUCUGCUGUGAAAUCUGGGGGCUCAACCCCCAGCCUGCAGUGGGUACGGGCAGACUAGAGUGCGGUAGGGGAGAUUGGAAUUCCUGGUGU
rnacentral:rRNA from 1 species